UGAGGAAUAUUGGACAAUGGGCGCAAGCCUGAACCAGCCAUGCCGCGUGCAGGAUGACGGUCCUAUGGAUUGUAAAGCACUUUAAGUUGGGAGGAAGGGCAGUUACCUAAUACGUAUCUGUUUUGACGUUACCGACAGAAUAAGCACCGGCUAACUCUGUGCCAGCAGCCGCGGUAAUACAGAGGGUGCAAGCGUUAAUCGGAAUUACUGGGCGUAAAGCGCGCGUAGGUGGUUUGUUAAGUUGGAUGUGAAAUCCCCGGGCUCAACCUGGGAACUGCAUUCAAAACUGACAAGCUAGAGUAUGGUAGAGGGUGGUGGAAUUUCCUGUGUAGCGGUGAAAUGCGUAGAUAUAGGAAGGAACACCAGUGGCGAAGGCGACCACCUGGACUGAUACUGACACUGAGGUGCGAAAGCGUGGGGAGCAAACAGGAUUAGAUACCCACGUAGUCCCUGAGCGGGCUGGCAAGGCGCAU
rnacentral:rRNA from 1 species